rnacentral:rRNA from 1 species
GAUGAACGCUGGCGGCGUGCUUAACACAUGCAAGUCGAACGAAGCGAGAACUAAAGCGCAAGCAGAGGUUCUUGACUGAGUGGCGGACGGGUGAGUAACGCGUGGAUAACCUGCCUUUCACAGGGGGAUAACAGCUGGAAACGGUUGCUAAUACCGCAUGAGCCUCUUUUGUCGCAUGACGGGAGAGGGAAAGAGAAAUCGGUGAGAGAUGGAUCCGCGUCCGAUUAGCUAGUUGGAGGGGUAAAAGCCCACCAAGGCGACGAUCGGUAGCCGACCUGAGAGGGUGGACGGCCACAUUGGGACUGAGACACGGCCCAA